rnacentral:rRNA from 1 species
AUGUGGCUUGUAGUCCACGGCCGUUGCUUCACCGCCGACAAUAUCGCCGCGCAGGAGUCAUGCACUCACUUGUUCGUGCACUGUCGCUUCGCGAACGAGGUCUGGACGCGCUUCCGUGGCUGGCUGGGCGCAUCCUUCCCGAUUCCGGCCGGUGGGGACAGGUGCACGGAGGACUGGUGGUUGCAGGCUAGGCAGGCUGCGCCUAAGCAGCUGAGGAGGUAUUUUGAUGUGGUCGUUAUCCUGGUUCAUUGGCGCAUCUGGGAGGACCGCAAUGCUCGCAUCUUCGAGGAAACGGUGGCCGGCCCUACUGAGGUGGUGAGCGCGGCCAUCGAGGACCUCCGAUCCUGGCGUGCGGCUGGCUGCUUUGCCACGGCAGCCACCCUUUAG